rnacentral:tRNA from 1 species
GUCUUCGUAGUGUAAUGGUCAAGCGCACUUGGCGCGUAUUCGAGAGGUCCGUGGUUCGAGUCCCGGCGAGGGCA